CAAUAGCGUAUAUUGAAGUUGUCGCAGUUAAAAAGCUCGUAGUUGGAUCUCAGGGUGAGCUCAGUUGGUCGGCCUACUUGGUCAGAACUGGCUGUCUCUCCCUUGUUUCUGAAUCCCGGCCGGAGUUCACUCUUCGGUCGUGGACUUCAGAUCGUUUACCUUGAAAAAAUUAGAGUGUUCAAAGCGGGCGUUUGCUUGAAUACAUUAGCAUGGAAUAAUGGAAUAGGACCCUGGUUCUAUUUUGUUGGUUUUGAGGACCAGAGUAAUGAUUAAUAGGGAUAGUUGGGGGCAUUCAUAUUUAAUUGUCAGAGGUGAAAUUCUUGGAUUUAUGAAAGAUGAACUUCUGCGAAAGCAUUUGCCAAGGAUGUUUNCAUUAA
rnacentral:rRNA from 1 species